GUUAAAGCAGAAUGUCAUUAGAUGUCAUUUUAUCGCUAAGUUCCUUUAGCAGAAUAAUAGUAUUUGACUUUUCCCUGGGUCCAUGACCUAUCUAGCCUUAGAUUCUGGGCCACCCCAACAGCGUUGGGCAUGGGGUUCAUCUCAUGGGGUGGUCCUUAGAUCCAAUCAGAUGGCAGUUGGUUACGCCCAUAACAUGUGUGGCACUAUUAUACCGCAUGUCAUGCAGGCAGGUCAUCAUUGCAGAUGGAAGGGUUUGUGACAGGUUUUCACUUCAAAUACUAUGUGUGACUAUGUAUGGAGACAGUGGACAUCCUUGUCUUGUUCCUGAUUUUACUGGGAUUGCUUUGAGUUCCUCUCUGUUUAAGUUGAUGUUGGCUGUGGGUUUGCUGGGAAUCACCUUUAUUAUACUCAGAAAUGUCUCUUGUAUGCCCAGUUUCUCCAGGACUUUUAUCAUGAAGAGACAUUGGAUUUUAUCAAAGAUACAAAGGGGUUUCCUAAUAGGGAUGGUAGUCUAAUUCUCGCCCUUCGGAAGCUGAUUCCUUCCUGCUGCUUAACAUGCCAUCGGUACUCCAUGUCCUGCCUGCCUUCCAAGAGUGCACAGAGUUUGGCACUGUUUACCAUGCGUUGUCUCAACUACUGAAAAAUGGCUCUAUCUGCACCAGUGGCCGAAACAC
rnacentral:lncRNA from 1 species